rnacentral:rRNA from 1 species
UUCUGACCGUAAACGAUGCCAACUAGCGAUCCGCCGGUGGCUGCAAGGCCUUGGUGGGGAGCUUCCCGGAAACGAAAGUCUUCCGGUUCCGGGGGAAGUAUGGUUGCAAAGCUGAAACUUAAAGGAAUUGACGGAAGGGCACCACCAGGAGUGGAGCCUGCGGCUUAAUUUGACUCAACACGGGAAAACUCACCCGGCCCGGACACCGUGAGGAUUGACAGAUUGAUAGCUUUUUCAUGAUUCGGUGGUUGGUGGUGCAUGGCCGUUCUUAGUUCGUGGAUCGAUUUGUCUGGUUUAUUCCGAUAACGAGCGAGACUCCAGCCUACUAACUAGUGCGGGCGUUGUCUCUGCGCCCUUCGCACUUCUUAGAGGGAUUGGCUGCGUCUAGCGGCACGAAACGGAGCAAUAACAGGUCUGUGAUGCCCUUAGAUGUCCGGGGCUGCACGCGCGCUACACUGGCAAAGGCAGCGUGCUUGUCCUGCGCCGAAAGGCGUCGGUAAACCCUUGAAAAUUUGCCGUGAUUGGGAUCGGAAAUUGCAAUUAUUUUCCGUGAACGAGGAAUUCCUAGUAAGUGCGAGUCAUCAGCUCGCGUUG